ensembl:ncRNA lncRNA:CR44096 long non-coding RNA:CR44096
AGUAACUGCGAUUCCGCCACAGACGCCGGGUCUUGUGCCUUGUUAUCGGUUUACGUGACGAUCCGCUUUUCCAGUGCACCUCUGCUAUGGCAUCAACACUGGCGACGUUGAGUGCAGGGACGUGCUGGCCGGACCAGCCGGUUCAGCGACAACGAUAACAGCUACACAACUGGAGAACAUCAGAGGAUGGAGCAGGCGAAGAGGAGCAGCAUGCGGAUGAGGACGAGGCUAGCCACAACAAGGCGUGAAUGCCGCAAGAGGAGCUUACUGAGGAGCACAAGGAGGAGCUGGGGGCGAGUUGGGGACCCGGCUGAAACGCAACUUGGAGGCUGACUACAUAAUUACCGUUUCGGCCAUGGCCGCUUGCCAUUGUAAUUGAUGUUGUAUUAGAACAUCAUUUACGCAAUUGCCGCAGUUUGCUGUUGUUGCUACUAGUAGCUGAUGUUGCUUCUUGGCUUCGCCAUGCAGAUACUGCUCCUCUUAUUUCUGCAGCCCGGGCUCCCGAAUUUUGUUCCCAAUGUUCUUGGAGCUGCGUGAAUUAUUGUU